ACACAUUGACCAAAGGGCGUUUUCGUCCUUUAAAAUUUGACUUUAACCGUUUAAGCCUCUAAAAAUAUAGAAGUGGUUUACCCUAAGGGUUUUAACCAUUCUAAAUCCGUUUUUGUGUAGUUUGAGGCAAUCCGGAGACUCGAGAACGCAGUUUUGAUUUAUUGGGAAGAGUGCUUGAAUUGUGAAUUUGAGAUACUAUUGGUGACGAUGAAGCUAAUAGCUCACGAGUUUGCUAGAGUUGAUCUAUUGGUUGAGGUGAGCCGCCGCUUUGUUCGUGGAGGCUACUAAAAGUGUCUUUAUCAUUUAUUUAUUAAUGUUUUUUUUCUUUUUCUUUUGGGGUUUACAAACCCGACUCUUUUGUAAUCCUCAUAGAUGUUCCAUGGUCUAGUGUGGGAUUUGGGCAAGAGUAUUUAGUUAAUAUUUUGAGAUACUAAUUAUCCGUAAUUAAUUAUUAUAUUA